UACGUAGGCAGCGAGCGUUGUUCGGAAUUACUGGGCGUAAAGAGUGUGUGGGCGGUGUUCCCAGUCUGUUGUGAAAUCUCCCGGCUUAACUGGGAGGGUGCAGCGGAAACUAGAAUGCUAGAGGGUGGGAGAGGUAAGCGGAAUUCCUGGUGUAGCGGUGAAAUGCGUAGAUAUCAGGAGGAACACCUGUGGUGUAGACAGCUUACUGGACCACUUCUGACGCUGAGACACGAAAGCGUGGGUAGCAAACAGG
rnacentral:rRNA from 1 species